GACAGAGGAUGCAAACGUUGCUCGGAAUUACUGGGCGUAAAGCGCGUGUAGGCGGUCUCGCACGUCCGGUGUGAAAGCCCAGGGCUCAACCCUGGAAGUGCACUGGAUACGACGGAGCUGGAGUACUGAAGAGGAGAGCGGAAUUCCCGGUGUAGAGGUGAAAUGCGUAGAGAUGUGGAGGAAUACCGAUGGCGAAGGCAGCCUCCUGGGAUAACACUGACGCUCAUGCACGAAAGCGUGGGGAGCAAACAGG
rnacentral:rRNA from 1 species